rnacentral:ncRNA from 1 species
CGCAAACGAGAGGGAGAGGGCCGGUGUUAACCGACCGCCGAAGGAGCAGCCGCCCAGGAAACUCUUAGGCACCCGGACCGCUCGUUCGUU